rnacentral:rRNA from 1 species
AUUGAACGCUGGCGGCAGGCUUAACACAUGGAAGUCGAGCGGGGUGAUGGUGCUUGCACUAUCACUUAGCGGCGGACGGGUGAGUAAUGCUUAGGAAUCUGCCUAUUAGUGGGGGACAACAUCUCGAAAGGGAUGCUAAUACCGCAUACGUCCUACGGGAGAAAGCAGGGGAUCACUUGUGACCUUGCGCUAAUAGAUGAGCCUAAGUCGGAUUAGCUAGUUGGUGGGGUAAAGGCCUACCAAGGCGACGAUCUGUAGCGGGUGAGAGAGGAUGAGCCGCCACACUGGGCAUGAGACAUGGCACAGGGUCCGACGUGAGGGAGCAGUGGAGAAUAUUGGACAAUGUGGGGAACCCUGAUCCAGCCAUGCCGCGUGAGUGAAGAAGGCCUUAUGGUUGUAAAGCACUUUAAGCGAGGAGGAGGCUCUUUUGGUUAAUACCCAAGAUGAGUGGACGUUACUCGCAGAAUAAGCACCGGCUAACUCUGUGCCAGCAGCCGCAGUAA